UCCGCCUUCUGACCCGAGGUCGGGAGGAGACGCUUCAGGGCCGCAGGGGAAACGCCAGGCCGCCUGCUGCUUGGAGCUCCCUAGAAGAACACUUAAGGGGCCGAUCUCAGGGAGGAUGUAGAGUGCUCCAAGCGGUGGCCCCCAAGCACCCAGUGGGCAGGCCUCGAAACCGGACUAGACACUCGCCCUCUGGUACUGCCGCAGCCCCGCCCGUCGGCGCGCCCCGCCCCUCGAAUCUCGGCCGAUUGGAGCGUGGCCCUUUGGUUGGAGGGUCAAGUCCACCUAGAGGUGCCUCGGAAGGAAGACCAGGCCGUCUACUUGCCAAAAAAUCCGCCAUUGAAAACCCUUUGAGCACAGUUCUAGCCUGGCACACGUGGGAUCACCGUGAGUUGGAGGCGCCUUGACAGCGAUGAGGAGGGAAGUCAAGUGUUGUCUGAGUCUGGAGCCAGAUUGCAAAACUUACACCUUUUCCCUGGAUGGAGUCCCUGGGUGGUGUGAACAGUAACAUGCUCAGCUGCUAACCAAAAGGCUGGAGUCCACCCAGAGUCACCUUGGAAGAAAGCCCUGACCACCUACUUUCGAAAAAUCAGCCAUUGAAAACCCUAUGGAGCAGAGCUCUACUCUGACGCACACAGGGUGGCCAGGAGUCGGGAGUGGUCGACUAAUGGCAGCUGGUCUUUUCCAUAACACAACACUGUUUUUACCAUGUCCCCGGCUCUCACUUGUCCACAGUGCUCACCUGGAGUGUACCCCUCCUCCUGCCCUGGCUGUUUUUAGUAAUUAUUCCACCAUUGCGGAACUUAUUUCCCUGGAAAAUGAGUUCUGAGCAGGGCAGGGAACUCGUCUGCCUUCGUCACCGCAGCCCAGCUCUGACCCAACCCAGGUGGCUGCUUGGCCUGAGAUAGCCCUGCCCACAGUGGGGCUGUCCCCUCACCGCACAGCCUGUCAGUGGCCACCCUUGUCUUCCCUGAACGCCAUGGACUCAACAAGCUCCUUCAGGGAGAGGCCCCUGCCUGGGUGUCCUACCCAGCCUGCAGGGUAGACUGGAUGUUAGAAUCCCAUCCAGGGCGGAAUCACCCAAUAAGCAAGGAAGGUCUGCAGGGCCCAUUGUGCCUUUCUGCCAACCUGCAGUGCAGAAUUUCACCCGCCCCACCACAUCAGAGACGUGGUGAAACCCAGGUGGCAUUACUCACCACAGAUUAGCAGGCAAAUGCAAUUAAGCCCGGGCGUACCUUGCUCAGUGCAAGCUGGGUGCAUACGUGCUUACUGGCAAUCCGUCCUCGACCAUGUCACACUCUCUAUCCAACAAGAAGUGCCAGAACAUAGAUUGAGGGCCCAGAACACUGCUCCAGAAAAACAGGAACUUCGGGUUCAUCAUAGCUCCCCGGCCUGCAGACGAUGUUUGGCUAACGUCACGUACUCAAUAAGCCACGAGCCUUCUUUCCAUGUUGCUGUACAAACCCGGCUGAGUGCAGGUGCACGCAGAGCAGGAGGGAGCCCCGGCGCUUGUCAGCAUUGUCAGGACAGACCCCUGACGGCCCUGGGCCUGGCCUGUGUGGCGGGCGGUGGCUGGUGCUCGUGACGACCUGUGUAUCUGAAAGCUAGUGAGAACCUGUCUAUGUCCCCUUGGAAACCCAACAUUCUUACACAUCGUGCGGCCCUGGUGAUUCUCACAGAUUUUAAAGACGUAGUAUCAUUUUUAUUUUUAUAACAUUUUAAAAGAAAAAUGAUAAUGGCUAUGGUUGCACACAUGGCAGAUGUAACUAACGUCACGGAAUUGUACACUCGAAAAUGGCUGAAAGGCACAUUUCUUGUUACAUGCAGUCUACCACAAUAAAAUAAAAAGCUUCAGUUACAUCCGUUGGAGACGUCCUCACCCCGCUGUGGAUU